GACGAACGCUGGCGGCGUGCUUAACACAUGCAAGUCGAACGGAAAGGCCCUUCGGGGUGCUCGAGUGGCGAACGGGUGAGUAACACGUGGGUGAUCUGCCCUGCACUUUGGGAUAAGCCUGGGAAACUGGGUCUAAUACCGAAUAUGAUCAUCGGCUUCAUGGUCGGUGGUGGAAAGCUUUUGCGGUGUGGGAUGGGCCCGCGGCCUAUCAGCUUGUUGGUGGGGUAAUGGCCUACCAAGGCGACGACGGGUAGCCGGCCUGAGAGGGUGACCGGCCACACUGGGACUGAGAUACGGCCCAGACUCCUACGGGAGGCAGCAGUGGGGAAUAUUGCACAAUGGGCGCAAGCCUGAUGCAGCGACGCCGCGUGAGGGAUGACGGCCUUCGGGUUGUAAACCUCUUUCAGCACAGACGAAGCGCAAGUGACGGUAUGUGCAGAAGAAGGACCGGCCAACUACGUGCCAGCCGCCGCGGUAA
rnacentral:rRNA from 1 species